UGACUUCAAGAGUUUGGGAAGUUACUUUUGCGGUGCCAGUUUCUGUUUGUGGCUUGAGAGGUUUCCCUUUGCUUGUACACAAUCGCUUUCAUCCACGCUGAUGGCAUCUAUAAUUGGCACUGUGUUUUCCGUUCACAGGAGUUACCACAGCAGUUGCUACUGCAGCCGCUAUUGAUAACCUCAGAGAAAUCCCCAAGGGGUUGAAAUGGAACUUCUUAAACUGAACUUUCAACAAAUACAUGAAUGUAGACUUGUUAAAAAUGGCCUCAGUGCACUACUUUUUAAAUGAAAUAUUGAAUUAUUUGGGCUGGAGGUGUCAGAGUUUUCAGGCAGAGAGGACCCAAACGGAGAUCAGAGUUUAGGCAGUUUAUUCAGGGGAGAGUAAGCGGGAAGACGGCUGAUGGCUGGUAGUCUGCUGAGACGGCGGAGGUCUUCUGGGACAGAGAGAAACAGCGGUUAGACAUGAACAGACAAUAACCACAAUACAAGACUGAUUCUAAGAUCGGCAAGGACUGGAUGUCUGAGCCUCCUAUUUAGGCAGUGGCUGAUUGUGGGACACAGAGCAGGUGUGCUGAUUGCGGAUGGGUUUCAGAGAGGACACAGCCACAUCUGGGAGACCUUCAGUGCAUUCUGGGAUCUGGAGAAAAUACACACACGGGCCUACUUGCUCCUCUGUGGGAGCAGCUGAGCUCUUAGCCCCUCAGCUCCUGGCCUACUUCUGAAGCAAUGUUUGACAAAGGGCGAGUCUCUCCCUCAACAAAAGACAGGGAAUUAGAGAGGCUCUUGCAUGGUGAGAAGGCCACACGCAAAGCUAGAUGCUGCCCAGUCCACAUUCCCUGUCAGA